AAUUAAACCAUAUGAAAUGGAGCCACUUAAAAGAAGUUUAUUGAGAUCAUCACCAAUGAUGGGUCCUUCAUCAGAAGCGAAAGUUUAUCAUCCAGCCACAAACCUUCAGCCAUCAUUGCCACCAAUUUCUGAACCAGUACCGGUAGAGCCGUUGGAAACUCCGAAAAUAGCUGGAAUGUUUGUUGCGAAACGAGUUCAACGGAAAACCAUCCAAGACUUAAAAGAAAUAAAGACGAGAAUUGCGUGAAAACAG